AUUGAACGCUGGCGGCGUGCCUUACACAUGCAAGUCGAACGGUAACGCGGGGGCAACCCUGGCGACGAGUGGCGAACGGGUGAGUAAUACAUCGGAACAUAUCCAGUAGCGGGGGAUAACCUAUCGAAAGAUUGGCUAAUACCGCAUACGAUCUACGGAUGAAAGCAGGGGACCGCAAGGCCUUGCACUAUUGGAGUGGCCGAUGUCAGAUUAGCUAGUUGGUGGGGUAAAGACCUACCAAGGCGACGAUCUGUAGCUGGUCUGAGAGGACGAUCAGCCACACUGGAACUGAGACACGGUCCAGACUCCUACGGGAGGCAGCAGUGGGGAAUUUUGGACAAUGGGGGCGAACCCUCGAUCCAGCCAUUCCGCGUGAGUGAAGAAGGCCUGUGUAGUA
rnacentral:rRNA from 1 species